rnacentral:pre_miRNA from 1 species
UUAUUACUCCCUCCAUUCGGAAUUACUUGUCUCGGAAAUGGAUGUAUCUAGAACUAAAAUACAUUUAGAUACAUCCAUUUUCACGACAAGUAAUUCCGAACGGAGGGAGUAGUUC